CUUAUGGUGGGGGACAACCCGGGGAAACUCGGGCUAAUACCGCAUAAGCCCUACGGGGAAAGCGGGGGAUCUUCGGACCUCGCGCCAUUAGAUGAGCCCAAGUCGGAUUAGCUUGUUGGUGAGGUAACGGCUCACCAAGGCCGUGAUCCGUAGCUGGUCUGAGAGGACGAUCAGCCACACUGGGACUGAGACACGGCCCAGACUCCUACGGGAGGCAGCAGUGGGGAAUAUUGCACAAUGGGGGAAACCCUGAUGCAGCAAUGCCGCGUGUGUGAAGAAGGCCUGCGGGUUGUAAAGCACUUUCAGUAGGGAAGAAAAGCCCAGGGCUAAUAUCCCUGUGUCUUGACAUUAGCUACAGAAGAAGCACCGGCUAACUCCGUGCCAGCAGCCGCGGUAAUACGGAGGGUGCGAGCGUUAAUCGGAAUUACUGGGCGUAAAGCGCGCGUAGGUGGUAAGGUCAGUCGGAUGUGAAAGCCCCGGGCUUAACCUGGGAACUGCAUUCGAUACUGCAUAACUAGAGUAUGGUAGAGGGAAGUGGAAUUUCCGGUGUAGCGGUGAAAUGCGUAGAUAUCGGAAGGAACACCAGUGGCGAAGGGACUUCCUGGGCCAAUACUGACGCUGAGGUGCGAAAGGUGGGGAGCAAACAGGAUUAGAUACCCUGGUAGUCCACGCCGUAAACGAUGAGAACUAGACGUUGGGUUCAUUUAAGAACUUAGUGUCGCAGCUAACGCGUGAAGUUCUCCGCCUGGGGAGUACGGCCGCAAGUUAAAACUC
rnacentral:rRNA from 1 species